rnacentral:lncRNA from 1 species
GCCCAGCUUUGGCCUCAGCCCCAGAGCGAAGUCUGGAAUAUACAGCGUCCUAGCUUAAUAGAAGGCUCCCUUUUUCCUCCACCCCUAGGAGGAGAUCAAGAAUGCAGCAGAGCUUAAAAGGAACCAUGAACUAGAUUCCCUUUGAGAUUGCUGUCUUCACCUGGCAACAGGGAGCCCCAGCAGAGCUUAGGGAGAAGGGAAGUGACACGUUGGAAUCCAUUUUGCUCAAGAUGCUGAAAAUAUCGUGGCAAACUCCCUUUUCCUUCUGAGGCCAAACAACUUGGGGAAGAACCUUACCCAAGGGCUGCAGUUGGUUGGGAGGAAGGCGAGGGUCAACUCUGGAGCCGGUGAUACCUGAGAGCCGACAGGUGCGCGCGGGUAGCCCUCAGGACCCACCCACAAGGAAAUGCUGGGCUAGCAGUGGGUGCUGGCGCUGCUUUCUGCAGAUGGGACCCAAGUUCACUGGCGAGCAGCAGCAGCGAUCGCCAGGCCAGCUGGGUCGCCUUCUAUCUUCCAGCCAUUUAAAGGCGAGACUUAGGAUGGAUAAGAGGACAGGGAGAGAGAUGACUACGGCCUUCUCUCGAAAGUCACACUUUUCCCAAAGCGCCUCCCUCUCAGGUUCUCCGCUCCAGAGCGACACGUUUAGAGCAGAGAAGUCCGCACCGCGGGUGCGCGCCGCAGAGAUAUUGAGUUUGGCCAGAAAGGAAGCUCCAGUAAAGUUGCAGCCUAUAAAGAUGGAACAGAGGAGAAAGUGGUUGCUGAAAAGACCAGCAAGAAAAAAAAAAACCCAAGAUUUUCAGAAGACAAUAGACAAGAUGGACUGAGGUGCAGCCUAUAAAGAUGGAACAGAGGAGAAAGUGGUUGCUGAAAAGACCAGCAAGAAAAAAAAAACCCAAGAUUUUCAGAAGACAAUAGACAAGAUGGACUGAGUACAUCAUAAGAACCAACAGGAGGACCCCAGCUCUGGGAGCCUCAGAAUUGCAAAAGUGAAAGACUUUGCUUUGAGAAGAAAGCCCCAGAGCACCAUGUUCCAGAAUGAUGGCAGCCUAGAGAAUCUGUUCCUACAGCCAAGAGAGAAGGGAGCCUGGCCCCUGAUCCAGCUGGCAGUAGAUCCUGGUGUCAUCCACGUGGUGCUGGUUUUAGGUGUAUGCAGAAUGCGAGAGUUGUGAGGUGAGGAAAGCUUCCAUCCAGAUUUCUGAAGGGUGGCAGGCCAGGCAGGGCGCCCCUGAGAGGGCAGUGUAAAAAGCUUGAGUGCAAAGUCGAAGGUACAGCAGAGACCCCAGAAAUUUGGAGAAGUGAGGAGUGUGGAUAUCUGAGGAAAAAUGCAAGGAGGGAGCAGAGCUGGCCCCAAAGAGGAGCUGUGGGAACUACACCAUCGGGUAGUGCCGCAGGGGUGGAGCCACCCAAGCCCUUUGGCGUUCACAUCUUGUCAUAGAUUGCCUGGGAUUGCAGGACUUAAUGUUUGCCCUGCUGGAUUUUGGAAUUGCUUUGCUCUCAUUCCUUUCUAUCCCUCUGUUUGUACCUUUUGGAAUGGAAAUGUCUAUCUUGUGCUAUUGGAUGUUGCGAGUGUUUAACUCUCUUUUCAUCUGAACAGGGUCUUGCAGCUAAGAGUAUGCCUUAAAUCUCAGAG